rnacentral:piRNA from 1 species
GACUAUACUCAAUGUAGAAUAAG